CGGAGGCUCCGGGGAGGCGAGGAGAUUUCUCUCGGGGAUGAAAAGAAUUGUUAUUCUCCGUUUACAAAAAUAUUUCUUGUCUUCUUGCCCUUGGCAGUGGCUAGUAGCUGACGCCUGUCACGGGAUAAACCAGGGAGAUGCCCUGGGCGGGAUCUCUGAAGCAGUCAGGAACUGUGGGAUGGCACCUGCAGCAUCACCCGGCAGAAAGAUACAUUGUUUGGCCUUAAGAGGGGAGGAUGAUGCCAAUGAAAACAGAAGUGGAAGAAUAAAAUACAGCAGUCAGACCAUGACAAGAGCUGCAAGAGCAUCUCUAACACUGCAGAUUACAUAAUUCCUGGAGGAAAAGGAGAGCAGGAAAGAUUGAAAUCAGCUGCUGAGAGUGCAAGGGAGAAUAGAGAGCAGAGCCAUCAGAGAGAAAGCAGAUGGACUCAGCCACCUUAAUCAUUCACCUGCCAGUCCCACAAUUCUUGGUAGGUCUCAAGCUGGGUGGCUGGACAUAACUUCUGAAGCAUCUUUUUCUAAUAUAUAAGUGACCUUGGAAUUCUGCACUGAGUUGGGCUUGCUAGUAUCCAAAUUCCCUGAUGUAAGGUUUGCAUAGCACACAACAUCAAAGUUUUUCAAAUCAAGGAAACAUUGCUAGAGAGUCUCCUAGAGAGUCCAGCUGGGACAUUCCUGCCUAUCUACACUUCACUGACAUUCUCACAUCAUAUUUUCUGCCACACAGCUUCCUAUGAAAACGGGGCUUGCUUGUUUGUUAUUUUAUAUAAUGGCAUCUUAUUUUUUUCUUGGCCUUUCUAUGAUGUCUUUAGAGUAUCAUCUUUGGUUAAAUAUCAGGACUAUUCUGAAAAUACUGCCUCCUGUUAGAUUACGUUGGACCACAGUGUCAGAGAU